rfam:Omnitrophica bacterium RIFCSPLOWO2_12_FTLL_50_11 rifcsplowo2_12_scaffold_8191, whole genome shotgun sequence.
GAGGGCAGGUCCCUCGGAGCCGACUUGCAGGAGUAGGCUUCAAACCACCUUAAGCGGCUUUGGCCA